rnacentral:rRNA from 1 species
CCUACGGGCGGCAGCAGUGAGGAAUAUUGGUCAAUGGGCGCAAGCCUGAACCAGCCAAGUCGCGUGAGGGAUGACGGUCCUAUGGAUUGUAAACCUCUUUUGUCGGGGAGCAAGGCCCGCCACGUGUGGCGGGAAGGAGAGUACCCGAAGAAAAAGCAUCGGCUAACGCCGUGCCAGCAGCCGCGGUAAUACGGAGGAUGCGAGCGUUAUCCGGAUUUAUUGGGUUUAAAGGGUGCGUAGGCGGAAGGUUAAGUCAGCGGUCAAAUGUCGGUGCUCAACACCGGCCUGCCGUUGAAACUGGUCGUCUUGAGUGAGCGAGAAGUAUGCGGAAUGCGUGGUGUAGCGGUGAAAUGCAUAGAUAUCACGCAGAACUCCGAUUGCGAAGGCAGCAUACCGGCGCUCAACUGACGCUGAGGCACGAAAGCGUGGGGAUCGAACAGGAUUAGAUACCCCUGUAGUC